GACGAACGCUGGCGGCGUGCUUAACACAUGCAAGUCGAACGGUGAAGCGCCUUCCUUUUUGGUGGGUGUGGAUGAGUGGCGAACGGGUGAGUAACACGUGAGUAACCUGCCCCCUUCUUCUGGAUAACCGCAUGAAAGUGUGGCUAAUACGGGAUAUUCUGGGUCUGUCGCAUGAUGGGUCUGGGAAAGAUAUUGUUUCGGUGGGGGAUGGGCUCGCGGCCUAUCAGCUUGUUGGUGGGGGGAUGGCCUACCAAGGCGGUGACGGGUAGCCGGCCUGAGAGGGUGGACGGUCACACGGGGACUGAGACACGGCCAAGACUCCUACGGGAGGCAGCAGGGGGGAAUAUUGCACAAUGGGCGCAAGCCUGAUGCAGCGACGCCGCGUGAGGGAUGGAGGCCUUCGGGUUGUGAACCUCUUUCGCCAGUGAAGCAGGCCUGCCUCGUUUGUGGGUGGGUUGACGGUAGCUGGAUAAGAAGCGCCGGCUAACUACGUG
rnacentral:rRNA from 1 species